UUCAUCUUCGGUACUGCCUACUGAUAAAGCUCUUUGGCAUCCAUGGCAACGGAUGUACUGUGUGCUUGGUGUCACAGACGAUCUUUCUCGGCAGUACUUGCAUAUGAGACUGUCCAUUCAGCUUAUUGGUAUCUGUAUUUGAUUUAAUGUUGCUGCUGAUGCCAAAUGAGUUGUGAAGUCAAACAGGAGCUGAGCUUUCAAAUAGUAGCAGAAAAAAUUAAACGUACACCGAAGAAAAAUACAGCCUUCUCUUUCAAGACAAUUAAGUUUGCGGAUUCCCUUUUCUGAUUCCGUUAUACCAUUCCGGGGAAACUUUACAUGCAUUUUCCAUGCAGCUGUGGAGGAUAAGUCGUGAUCCUCCCAACGAGAUUCUUUCCACAUUUUGAUGCUCCUCUAAUUUUAGCUGAUGGAAAAGUACGCGGUAGAAUUUCGAAUAAGAUUGAGGGUGAAAUGGAAACAGGUGAAAAUUCAAUUCCACGGUUUAUUACUUUGGAAAACAGAAUGUUAUCAUCAUCUGUUUUACGAUUGGUGGAUAUUUUUGUCUCUUUUUUGGUAUGUGAUUCUCAACAAUCAAAUUGCAAAUUGAUUAAUAUUUAGUAUCUUGAGUUGUCAGCAUUUUUUCAUUGUUAUCAUAGGAUAAGACUAUUAUGGGC